ACUCCUACGGGAGGCAGCAGUGGGGAAUAUUGCACAAUGGGCGCAAGCCUGAUGCAGCCAUGCCGCGUGUAUGAAGAAGGCCUUCGGGUUGUAAAGUACUUUCAGCAGUGAGGAAGGUGGGAGUUCAGUUAAUAGCGGCCAUCAUUUGAUCGUUAUGCUGCAGAAGAAGCACCGGCUAACUCCGUGCCAGCAGCCGCGGUAAUACGGAGGGUGCGAGCGUUAAUCGGAAUUACUGGGCGUAAAGCGCAUGCAGGUGGUUUGUUAAGUCAGAUGUGAAAGCCCGGGGCUCAACCUCGGAAUAUGACA
rnacentral:rRNA from 1 species